rnacentral:lncRNA from 1 species
GUGGUCCCAAACUUUAUUCCAUACAAAAGUAUGUAAUUCGACUCCUGAUGAGUCGAAAUUGGAUGAGUCGAAAUUUCGGUUGAGUCGAACUAAAUUUACGGUCCCAAGGAUAACAAAGCAUUCAAAAUUCAUUUUUUAUCUCGAACUAAUACACAUAUGUCAAAACAUGACCUCCGGGAUUUAACUGGAUUGAAGAGUUAAUCUGACAAUA